UUUGCAACUUUGACUUCUUUAUUUUUAGGGGAAUUUUGAUGGGGCCAUCCCACCCCACAUGUUCUUAGAAAAUACAUAAUCCGGCGGCAUAUAUCAUUCUCACAACACCACAUCUCAUGCAAAAUAUCUGAAUUUUAUAUUGCCAUUAAAAUAAUUAUAAUGUAACUCGUGUAAGAGUCUAGAUUAGUGGUAAUCCCAUAGUUUAUAUUGUAAU
rnacentral:lncRNA from 1 species